rnacentral:rRNA from 1 species
AUUGAACGCUGGCGGCAGGCCUAACACAUGCAAGUCGAACGGUAACAGGAAACAGCUUGCUGUUUCGCUGACGAGUGGCGGACGGGUGAGUAAUGUCUGGGAAACUGCCUGAUGGAGGGGGAUAACUACUGGAAACGGUAGCUAAUACCGCAUAACGUCGCAANGACCAAAGAGGGGGACCUUCGGGCCUCUUGCCAUCGGAUGUGCCCAGAUGGGAUUAGCUAGUAGGUGGGGUAACGGCUCACCUAGGCGACGAUCCCUAGCUGGUCUGAGAGGAUGACCAGCCACACUGGAACUGAGACACGGUCCAGACUCCUACGGGAGGCAGCAGUGGGGAAUAUUGCACAAUGGGCGCAAGCCUGAUGCAGCCAUGCCGCGUGUAUGAAGAAGGCCUUCGGGUUGUAAAGUACUUUCAGCGGGGAGGA